rnacentral:lncRNA from 1 species
GUAUGCCAGACACUGUACUUGGCACUGGAGUUACUAAGAUGGUUCCACCUGCUUUCAUUGCUUUCAGGCUUCUGAUCCAUCUUCGUAACAUGAACAUAGGCUGCUGGUCAAUGUUAAUAUGUGGUUGUUUAAAGAGAGAAUUACCCAGUUGGUCCAGAGCAAAUACUUACACAUGCUUAGAUGGAAGAGGUUCUGCCAGCAUAGCAGCAUCAUGGAACAACUUUAUCCUCUUUACCAGGAGCAGGUUGGGCACAUUAUGCAGGAGUACAAUGAUGCUGUUCAGAGAGCUGAGAGGCUGGCUGUUGCCAGAGAAAACUUACUCACUGGAAAGAACAGUCCUGGGCACCUGGUAACACAGGAAGAUCUGGUUAUCUAUACCAAGUGGCUAGUAUGUCACCUACAUUCACUUAGAGACAUUCACAGCUACCUGAGGGUAAGAGAAGAAGUGACUAAAAUACCCAUUCACUUUAUUUUUUGUGAGGCAGUUGGGGUUAAGU